UAAUUAUGCCUUUGUCGUUGUUGAUGUUUUCAUUCUGUUGUUGUUGUUGCUGUACACGGCGCCGGGCGACGCGUCGCUUUUUCCAUUAAAGCUUCCCCACGUUUUGCAUUUGCAUUCACAUUCGCAUUCUCAUUUCAGCUCAGUUUUGUUUCUGUUUUCUGUGCAGUUCUGUGGUUGCUUUUAUUACAGGCGAAUUUGCAUACAUAUAGUGGAUGCGAGCGAGAUAGACUGCUUAUUACAGCAUUUGACGGCGCUGCAGUUUUUUGUUGUUCUGUUGCUUUGUUAUUGUUGCCGUUUGUUAUUGCACAUUGACGUAAUAUCGGCUAGAAGCAAUUCGAAACUGGACAAAUGUUGGGGCUGCCCCCCCCAGCUCCUAUUCAAUUGGAGAAUCGGCAAAAAAUUUCAAGUACAGCUAAGGUCUAACUGUUUAUUUUUUCUCUUUUUCUGUUGAAUUUGCAAAUUACUGACUAAGCAAUUGCUAAGAAGCCAAUUUCGCAGAGGGAUUAGCUGUCAUCUAUACUUUAGCUACUCAAUGGCAACUGUACGACGCCAGCAGUUGAAUGGAACGCGAGUGCGUGUCUGUAUGUGUGUGUGUGCGUGCAUGUGUUUUUAUCACGCCACCAGGCUCCCAUUCACGGUCCACGCUGACCCCAGCGCCUGGCUCAAUUCAAUCUAAAAUUUUCCAAACUGUGGCCAGACGCGUGCCAAGGUUUCAAAAAUUUAAUGACACGAUUUGUGGUGCAGAUUAAACGAAGACCCCAACAUGAAGCCGAAUUAAUGGCACGCUUCUUGCGAUUAAAUUCUAAUAAAAGCUGCGAGCUUGAUCUUUGACUCACGUUCGGCUGCAGGCAGCUUGCAGCCGAAAAAAAA